UUUAAAUAGAACCCUUCGGGGUGACGUUUUAAUAACUUAGUGGCGGACGGGUGAGUAACGCGUGAGUAACCUGCCUUUCAGAGGGGGAUAACGUCCUGAAAAGGACGCUAAUACCGCAUGAUAUAUUUGUGCCGCAUGGUAUGGAUAUCAAAGGAGCAAUCCGCUGGAAGAUGGACUCGCGUCCGAUUAGCUAGUUGGAGGGGUAACGGCCCACCAAGGCGACGAUCGGUAGCCGGACUGAGAGGUUGAACGGCCACAUUGGGACUGAGACACGGCCCAGACUCCUACGGGAGGCAGCAGUGGGGGAUAUUGCGCAAUGGGGGAAACCCUGACGCAGCAACGCCGCGUGAAGGAAGAAGGUUUUCGGAUUGUAAACUUCUUUUCUAAGGGACGAAGAAGUGACGGUACCUUAGGAAUAAGCUCCGGCUAACUACGUGCCAGCAGCCGCGGUAAUACGUAGGGAGCAAGCGUUGUCCGGAUUUACUGGGUGUAAAGGGUGCGUAGGCGGCAAUGCAAGUCAGAUGUGAAAUGCACGGGCUCAACCCGUGAGCUGCAUUUGAAACUGUGUUGCUUGAGUGAGGUAGAGGCAGGCGGAAUUCCCGGUGUAGCGGUGAAAUGCGUA
rnacentral:rRNA from 1 species